rnacentral:rRNA from 1 species
AUUGAACGCUGGCGGCAUGCCUUACACAUGCAAGUCGAACGGCAGCACGGGUGCUUGCACCUGGUGGCGAGUGGCGAACGGGUGAGUAAUACAUCGGAACAUGUCCUGUAGUGGGGGAUAGCCCGGCGAAAGCCGGAUUAAUACCGCAUACGAUCUACGGAUGAAAGCGGGGGACCUUCGGGCCUCGCGCUAUAGGGUUGGCCGAUAGCUGAUUAGCUAGUUGGUGGGGUAAAGGCCUACCAAGGCGACGAUCAGUAGCUGGUCUGAGAGGACGACCAGCCACACUGGGACUGAGACACGGCCCAGACUCCUACGGGAGGCAGCAGUGGGGAAUUUUGGACAAUGGGCGAAAGCCUGUUCCAGCAAUGCCGCGUGUGUGAAGAAGGCCUUCGGGUUGUAAAGCACUUUUGUCCGGAAAGAAAUCCUUGGCUCUAAUACAGUCGGGGGAUGACGGUACCGGAAGAAUAAGCACCGGCUAACUACGUG